UUGAACGCAGAAAUAAAUGCAAACAAAACAAAACAAAUGUUGUAGCCAAAAUGUAGUUUGUUUGAAAGUAAUACGAGGCUACACAUUGUAUUUGAUAGGGAUUUGUACUAGUGGGAAGGUAUUUUAUGAGAUACCUUGUAAGAGUUUUCAGAUCAAAUGGCUUUGGUCAAGGGAAUACUGAGUACUGUUCAAAGUUAAUUUUGCGUUGUCAUGGUAAUGCUGUGUUUUGGAACAGUCCAUGCCCCCUUUCUUAUGUAAUUUUGGCUGGUUGGAUGGGAACCACACAUUGGGGAGUAGGAGGCCAGAGACACCAGUAUUUUAUAUGUUGAUAGGAGGGAGUACAGUAUGUGCAGAGAAGCUCUGGGUUUGGCAAACAUAAUUAACUAAUGAAUAGUUGAGGCGUUUCUUUGUCUGAUACUGGAACUUUGUUAACUUUUUAAUUUUUGUUUUGGGUCUUGAUUAAUAUUCGGUUUAAUUAAGUUAUGGUGUGAAUUAAUGUUAAUUGUUUGAUCCAGAAUGUGUAUUUAAUAGUUUUAGGGGCUACUUUUGAAAAAGUAGGGGGGCCCACGUGUUGAUGAAAGUGUUUUACUUUUAUGUGUCUGUGUGUUAUAAUGGUUAUCAUAUUGUAAUAUGCUGAUCUUUCUGAUUUGUAACUGGGAUUUGGCUAGGAGUACUGCUAGGUUUAGUCAGGAUAAAGUAUCAAUGUUAAUUUCGAGAACCUCAAUCUGAGACCGGGAUUGCAUUAGAGGGAUACUGGAGUGACUAUUGGGGCAGUAAGGUUUUUCUCUUUACCUUUGUUUGUCUGUUAACCUUCGAGGCCGGAAAGGAUGCAUUGGUAGUUGAGAGAAUUAGUCAAAAGUUAUGAGAUUUUUCAGUAUGUUAUAUUGGUGAACCAUUGUUCCAUUGGAAAUUGCUAAGAUUUGGGGGAACAUCUGGUAAUUGUUGUUACCGGUAUUUGUUUAUUGUCUUGUAAUUCUUUAACAAUUUGGAUCAGCUUAAAGUAUAAGUAGGUAGGCCUAUAUUUUUGCAGAUUUAAGGAUGACAUUGUAGUGAUUGAUUUACUGGCUAUAAUUAUAUAAUGGUCUGUUAUUCGUUGAGAUACAUGGAUUGUGAAGGUCUAUGUCGAUAACUAAACAAUUGGUUGGUAUAAACUCUGGAGCUGUUAGGAUCAGUUAGGAAGCACUUGGAAUGUUAAUGCUAGAAACCUCAAUAUGAGACUAGUAUUACAUAAUAAGGAGUGUACUUGAAAACUGAAACAGUUGAGCUUUUGCACUAGAUAUGUUUUCUGUGUUUAUUCUCGUCACGAGACCAGGAAGUUCGUAUUAGUGGUGCGGGUUCGCCAAUACCGUGUUAUUGCUGAGAUUUUUAUAUUCCGUAUCAGGUGAUUACUGGCUUUAUGUAUUUAGUGUCAUGAUUAAUUGUAAAUUGAUUUGUUCUGUAACUGCGAACAAGCAUCUCCAGGUAGUGUUACUUAAAGUAGGACUUUAAUUUGUAAUAAUUUUUGUAUAGUGAGUGGCGGGACGUCACUCAAUUAAGUAGGGGAGUAUGUAACAGGUCAAAAUGAACUGUUUAUUGAAAAUUCAUAUGUUUUCAUUACUCUUAAUCAUUUGUUUGUAAGUAAUAGAUGCCUUCACAGGAAGUGCACAGGAAUUAGUAGAAAGUAGAAAUGUUUAACAAUCUUCAUGCUUUUUAAGAAGUAUGAUUCACACUCUUUCUGGGUAAGAGUGAUGCGGUCUUUGGGUCAAAACAUCACAUUCCAGAGCUAUGAGCUUGUAUGACGUAGAUCAUUAUGGUCAAGGCUUAGCAUCUGUGAAUGGAAAGUGAUAACUGCAUAAAAAAGGGGAAAGGAUUUUACUCCAAUUCACUCCUGCACUGCACCCCAUUCAUGGGGCAGGCAGAGAGGCUUCUUCAUUUUUGGGUCAGAAUUAUAUAGGUAAGAUAUUUAUCUUAUUUUGUCAAUUCUAUUAGUUUUGAACGAUAGUUUAUAAAGUUGGUUAAUAAUGUAUUUUCUAUUGUUCGGAAUAAGAGGUUAGGUUAUGUAUAUUAAAGUAUGCUAGCAUAGCAUAUUUGUCUUUAUUUGAAGGGGUUUUGUGAAUUAAGUAAUUAAUUAGUUGUGCAUCCGUCUUUGUCACUUCAGAUGAUUUUUGUGGUAUUUUAUAUUAAUUACUUGUACUUGUAUACUUGAUUGUAGUAUGUAGAUAAACAUAAAAUGUGUUCGGUUCUAAUCGUAAAGUAAAACGAUUUAGUAAAAUGAUCUUUAGAGUUGAAGAUUUUGGUUAUUGAAUUGUAAAUUCAAUGUUUCUGUUUUGUGUUUUCAGAGUAAAGGGUCACAAUAAUUGCUUACUAUGUGUAAUAAUUGUUACUUUCAUUUUAAAGGUAUAUUUGACAUGACAUUCGUGUAGCGGGUGAGGCUAUCACGAGAGGAAAUAUGGUCCUCUAGGCCAGAUUGCCAGGGUUUUUUUUUAUUUCUUUAUCUUUUGUUCCUGUACUUGGAAAUUUUGGAAUUUUGUAUAUAACGACUCAUCGAUAUUAAACGAACCGAAACA
rnacentral:lncRNA from 1 species